rnacentral:snoRNA from 1 species
AUCUCAUGAUGAGGACACUUACGAAGUAACUUCUUGAAUCGCUCUUAAGCGUCAUAUAAAGACUCAUCAUCCAAUUGUCAAAAAGUUGUGAUCUCGUUCCUCAACUU